GAUGAACGCUGGCGGCGUGCCUAAUACAUGCAAGUCGAGCGAACAGAUGAGGAGCUUGCUCCUCUGACGUUAGCGGCGGACGGGCGAGUAACACGUGGAUAACCUACCUAUAAGACUGGGAUAACUUCGGGAAACCGGAGCUAAUACCGGAUCAUAUAUUGAACCGCAUGGUUCAAUAGUGAAAGACGGCUUUGCUGUCUCUUUUAGAUGGAUCCGCGCCGCAUUAGCUAGUUGGUAAGGUAACGGCUUACCAAGGCAACGAUGCGUAGCCGACCUGAGAGGAUGAUCGGCCACACUGGAACUGAGACACGGUCCAGACUCCUACGGGAGGCAGCAGUAGGGAAUCUUCGGCAAUGGGCGAAAGCCUGACGGAGCAACGCCGCGUGAGUGAUGAAGGUCUUCGGAUCGUAAAGCUCUGUUAUUAGGGAAGAACAAAUGUGUAAGUAACUAUGCACGUCUUGACGGUACCUAAUCAGAAAGCCACGGCUAACUACGUG
rnacentral:rRNA from 1 species